GAUGUACCCCCUGGAAGACCUCUGCGUACCCCCAGGGUACACGUACCCUGGCUGAGAACCAUUGCCCUAAUGUAAAUGAGAAUCAAUCCCUUUGCUUUUAAAAUUCUGUAGAAGCUUUUGGGCCUGGUUUCUUUUGGCUUACAUUGUUUUUUAUCCUAAUGUGGCUCUAGUGAAGUUACUCCUGAUUUACACUGAUGUUCAUAAGAGUAGAAUCAGGCCUUCUACAUUUUACACUCUUUAUAAUAUUUACUGUAAUCAUGCAAUAUCCACAGGGAAAACUGAGUUCAGGAGUAUACAAUCAAUAUUGUAUUCAUUUAAAAAAACCCCACAGAAUUAAAAAUACAAACCACCUGAUUUUGAAAUAAAUUACCUUCAUGGAAUUAUAUCUUAUCUUUAGAGUGAAAUAUUCACAGAAAAUUAAUGAGAUUGUCAAGUGGCCACAAUGAAGAUUUAUGUGCUAAUCUGGUGACGUUUUAAAACAAUAUAAAAUAAUAAAGAAAUGCUUCUGUUAAAAAAGUGGCAGAGAUACUUAAUUUGAAUGGAAUCUUUUAUUAGAUUCCUCCUGUUUAGAAGCAAAUAGCUCCUUUGUUUAAACACCCUUCACAAAGGCAAAGCCUCAGGAAACAUUUUGUAAAAGAAUUCUGAAAGUCAAAGUCAUUUUGAUAGAAAUCAAACCAGAAAUAAUUUCUCCCUAAAGGAAUUCUACUUUACUUUAAUGAUGUCUGGAUUGUUUCCAUUUAAACAGCAUUUUUUGUUAAUUAUGAUUCACACCGUCCACUUAAACAGUGACUUUUUUACAUAAGCUUAGGAACUCAUUUGUCAUAUCCAUUUUGUUCAAGUGGAGGAAACAAAUACGAAAGGAAAACAAUUUGACUAAAAACAUCUUCCGUUCAUUAAAAAGCUUUAUGUUCUAAUGGCUGAAUAUGAAAUCCUGCUCUUUAUGGCUACUGGGAGCUGGGGAGCUCUUUGUUAGACACUUACUGAGGCAUUCUUUCCUGGUAAUAUAGGCUGUUUAUGGGGCUUUUCAUGACCUUUCUUUUUGGUACUGCCAACAGAGGAAUACUGUGUGCAUCUCUUUUAUAUCCACUUGUCUGCUUGCUCAUGGAUAUGUAUCUGUUUUGUUGUCUUCAUUUUGAAGAAAAAAGCCAGGGGCAAUUAAAA